GGUUAAGUUAGAAAGGGCGCACGGUGGAUGCCUUGGCACUAGGAGCCGAAGAAGGACGGGACUAACACCGAUAUGCUUUGGGGAGCUGUACGUAAGCGUUGAUCCAGAGAUUUCCGAAUGGGGGAACCCACUAUCUUUAGUCGGAUAGUAUCCUUACGUGAAUACAUAGCGUGAGGAAGGCAGACCCAGGGAACUGAAACAUCUAAGUACCUGGAGGAAGAGAAAGAAAAAUCGAUUUCCUGAGUAGCGGCGAGCGAAACGGAAAGAGCCCAAACCAAGAAGCUUGCUUCUUGGGGUUGUAGGACACUCUAUACGGAGUUACAAAAGAAAGUUAUAAAUGAAGCGGUCUGGAAAGGCCCGCCAAAGACGGUAACAGCCCGGUAGUUGAAAUGGCUUUCCCUCCAGAGUGGAUCCUGAGUACGGCGGAACACGUGAAAUUCCGUCGGAAUCCGGGAGGACCAUCUCCCAAGGCUAAAUACUCCCUAGUGACCGAUAGUGAACCAGUACCGUGAGGGAAAGGUGAAAAGCACCCCGGAAGGGGAGUGAAACAGUUCCUGAAACCGUGUGCCUACAAGUAGUUAGAGCCCGUUAAUGGGUGAUAGCGUGCCUUUUGUAGAAUGAACCGGCGAGUUACGAUUUGUUGCAAGGUUAAGCGGAAAAAGCGGAGCCGUAGCGAAAGCGAGUCUGAAUAGGGCGCAUAAGUAACAGGUCGUAGACCCGAAACCAGGUGAUCUACCCAUGUCCAGGAUGAAGGUAAGGUAAUACUUACUGGAGGUCCGAACCCACGCACGUUGAAAAGUGCGGGGAUGAGGUGUGGGUAGCGGAGAAAUUCCAAUCGAACUUGGAGAUAGCUGGUUCUCUCCGAAAUAGCUUUAGGGCUAGCCUCGAGGUAAAGAGUCAUGGAGGUAGAGCACUGUUUGGACUAGGGGCCCUUCUCGGGUUACCGAAUUCAGAUAAACUCCGAAUGCCAUGUACUUAUACUCGGGAGUCAGACUGCGAGUGAUAAGAUCCGUAGUCGAAAGGGAAACAGCCCAGACCACCAGUUAAGGUCCCCAAAUAUAUGUUAAGUGGAAAAGGAUGUGGGGUUGCUUAGACAACCAGGAUGUUGGCUUAGAAGCAGCCACCAUUGAAAGAGUGCGUAAUAGCUCACUGGUCGAGUGACCCCGCGCCGAAAAUGUACCGGGGCUAAACAUAUUACCGAAACUGUGGAUGAACCUCUUUAGAGGUUCGUGGUAGGAGAGCGUUCUAAGGGCGGUGAAGUCAGACCGGAAGGACUGGUGGAGCGCUUAGAAGUGAGAAUGCCGGUAUGAGUAGCGAAAGAAGGGUGAGAAUCCCUUCCACCGAAUAUCUAAGGUUUCCUGAGGAAGGCUCGUCCGCUCAGGGUUAGUCGGGACCUAAGCCGAGGCCGAUAGGCGUAGGCGAUGGACAACAGGUAGAGAUUCCUGUACCAGUGCUAAUUGUUUAACCGAUGGGGUGACACAGAAGGAUAGGGAAUCGCACGAAUGGAAAUGUGCGUCCAAGCAGUGAGUGUGAGAAGUAGGCAAAUCCGCUUCUCGCGAAGCAUGAGCUGUGAUGGGGAAGGAAAUUAAGUACGGAAGUUCCUGAUUUCACGCUGUCAAGAAAAGCCUCUAGGAAGAGUAGUACUGCCCGUACCGCAAACCGACACAGGUAGAUGAGGAGAGAAUCCUAAGGUGAGCGAGAGAACUCUCGUUAAGGAACUCGGCAAAAUGACCCCGUAACUUCGGGAGAAGGGGUGCUCUAUUAGGGUGCAAGCCCGAGAGAGCCGCAGUGAAUAGGCCCAGGCGACUGUUUAGCAAAAACACAGGUCUCUGCAAAACCGUAAGGUGACGUAUAGGGGCUGACGCCUGCCCGGUGCUGGAAGGUUAAGAGGAGUGCUUAGCUUCGGCGAAGGUACGAAUUGAAGCCCCAGUAAACGGCGGCCGUAACUAUAACGGUCCUAAGGUAGCGAAAUUCCUUGUCGGGUAAGUUCCGACCCGCACGAAAGGCGCAACGAUCUGGGCACUGUCUCAACGAGAGACUCGGUGAAAUUAUAGUACCUGUGAAGAUGCAGGUUACCCGCGACAGGACGGAAAGACCCCGUGGAGCUUUACUGCAACCUGAUAUGGAAUGUUUGUACCGCUUGUACAGGAUAGGUAGGAGCCGAAGAGACGUGUGCGCUAGCAUACGAGGAGGCAAUGGUGGGAUACUACCCUGGCUGUAUGACCAUUCUAACCCGCCACGCUUAGCGCGUGGGGAGACAGUGUCAGGUGGGCAGUUUGACUGGGGCGGUCGCCUCCUAAAGAGUAACGGAGGCGCCCAAAGGUUCCCUCAGAAUGGAUGGAAAUCAUUCGCAGAGUGUAAAGGCACAAGGGAGCUUGACUGCGAGACUGACAAGUCGAGCAGGGACGAAAGUCGGGCUUAGUGAUCCGGUGGUU
rnacentral:rRNA from 1 species